rnacentral:lncRNA from 1 species
AAACGCUUCAAUGAUAGUAGACAUAUUUAAUUAAAAAGGCUUUUAGUGAUCGCGGGCGAUGCUCUCUUUAGACAAGACAACAAAAGGAAACGUGGAAAGGCCAUUAAGAAGAUGGGAAGAUGAUUUGAAGAUGACAGCAGGAACACUUUGGAAAAGGAAAGUUCAUGAUCGCAAGACAUGGAAGAUCUUGGGAGAGGCCUUUGCCGAAAGGCAAGACGAUUUACCGGUGUCGUAAUUUUUUUAUAUUGUACCUAUAGAUUUUUAUAUUAAGGUAAAUUGUUAAUAAAGGCUAUUAUUAUCCUC